UAAGGAAUAUUGGUCAAUGGACGCAAGUCUGAACCAGCCAUGCCGCGUGAAGGAUUAAGGCCCUCUGGGUUGUAAACUUCUUUUAUAGGGGAAGAAAUGUGACGGUUCUCCGUCACUUGACGGUACCCUGGGAAUAAGCACCGGCUAACUUCGUGCCAGCAGCCGCGGUAAUACGAAGGGUGCAAGCGUUACUCGGAAUUACUGGGCGUAAAGCGUGCGUAGGUGGUUGUUUAAGUCUGAUGUGAAAGCCCUGGGCUCAACCUGGGAAUGGCAUUGGAAACUGGGCAGCUAGAGUGCGGUAGAGGGCAGUGGAAUUCCCGGUGUAGCAGUGAAAUGCGUAGAGAUCGGGAGGAACAUCUGUGGCGAAGGCGACUGCCUGGACCAGCACUGACACUGAGGCACGAAAGCGUGGGGAGCAAACA
rnacentral:rRNA from 1 species